rnacentral:rRNA from 1 species
AAUUUUUGACAAUGUGGGAAACCCUGAUCCAGCCAUCCCGCGUGUAUGAUGAGGGGCUUCGGGUUGUAAAGUACUUUUUGCAUAGAAGAAAAGGCAUCCCCUAAUACGGGAUGCUGCUGACGGUAUCGUCAGAAUAAGCACCGGCCAACUACGUGCCAGCAGCCGCGGUAAUACGUAGGGUGCAAGCGUUAAUCGGAAUUACCGGGCGUAAAGCGUGUGUAGGCGGGUCGGAAAGAAAGAUGUGAAAUCCCAGGGCUCAACCUAGGAACUGCAUUUUUAACUGCCGAGCUGGAGUAUGUCAGAGGGGGGUAGAAUUCCACGUGUAGCAGUGAAAUGCGUAGAUAUGUGGAGGAAUACAGAUGGCGAAGGCAGCCCCCUGGGAUAAUACUGACGCUCAGACACGAAAGCGUGGGGAGCAAACAGG